GUCUGACCAGCCCCAUCUUGGUUGUUUUAGGUACAAUCAAUCUUCAGUUGCAAGGUCAGUUUGUUCCCAUUCCUUGAGGCCAGUUCUCAGAUCUGGGACAGCCUAUGUCAUGCCUACAGCCUGGCCAUGACGUUGUUAACUUCUCCCCCUGGUAGGCGGUGUCAGUAUCUACAAGACAGCUCACAGGAGGUGGCUCAGAACCUCUAUAGCUCUUGAAUGCGUGCUCCGUUGUUAAAUCGUGUCCGACUCUUUGCGACCCCCAUGGACCGUAGCGCACCAGGCUCCUCUGUCCGUGGGAUUUUUCCAGGCCAGAAUACUGCAGUGGGUUGCCUUUUCUGACUUCACUACAGCCCUUUGGGAGGAACUGAAGACAGAAGGCAGGCGGAGGGCGUGGGAGACAAGGACCAUAGGUUGUUGCUCCGUUUCAAAGGGACACUGCAGACUGUCAGCAAACCACAGAAAGCCUGCCGACAGACCCGGAGCAGAUCCUUCCUGGGAGCACUCGGAAGGAACCGAAAUGCACCCACGCCUUGGCUGGUUUCAGACUUUCUGGUCUCCAGAACAGUGAGGGUAUACAUUUCUGUUCUUUUUGGGGUCACAGCUCACAGCAGCCCUCGGAAACGAACAGAGCAAUAACAUUUAAGCACAGAACAUACAUCAUUGUCUGCAUGGGGUAGAGAGGCACGCUUUACUGUGGUCGGUUGUUGUUCGGUUGCCAAAUCAUGCCCAACUCUCUGCGACCCCGUGAACUGCAGCACGCCAGGCUUCCCUGCCCUUCACCAUCUCCUGAAGCCUGCUCAAACUCAUGUCCAUGGAGUCGGUGAUGCCAUCCAACCAUCGCAUCCUCUGUUGCCCCAUUCUCUUCCAAUCUUUCCCAGCAUCAGGGUCUUUUCCAAUGAUUUGGCUCUUCACAUCAGGUGUCCAGAGUAUUGGAGCUUCAGCUUCAUUCCUCCCAAUGAAUAUUCAGGGUUGAUUUCCUUUAAGAUGGAUUGGUUUGAUCUCCUUGCUGUCCAAGGGACUCUCAAGAUAGUUUGAAAGCAUCAAUUCUUCAGUGCUCAACCUUCUUUAUGGUUCAACUCUCACAUCCAUACGUGACUAUAGCUUUGAAUACAGACCUUUGUCGGUAAAGUGAUGUCUUUGCUUUUUAAUAUGCUGUGUAGGUUUGUCAUAGCUUUUCUUCCAAGGUCAGGCCCACCUAGAAUACUCUUCUCAUUUCAUUAGACUGACAGCAUCCAUACCUUCACCACUCAGAAGCCACAUGCCAAUUCCUGCCAAACGGCUUCUUUUUUCCCACCAGGCAAUUGGCUUCCUCAGAGGCAACCAGGCUGUGUUUCCGCCAUUUUAAAUGGUUUGGAUGCCAACACCUGAUUAGGGCAGGCCCACCCGGAAUAACUUCCCAUUUCAUUAGCUGGACUCUACAGAUGAUGGACUUUAACUUCAAUUGUAGAAUUCCUUCAGCUUUGCAAUCUCACCCUGGAAGUGACCGUGCAUCCUGCUCCCAUUCCCCAU
ensembl:lncRNA